UAAAACUACAUUGAUAUGCCGCAGAAUAUGGACUAGAAUAACCAGAAGAAGAAACUGGAAGAAACGUUUUGUGGUCAUUUUAUUGACAAAACUCUGUUAUUUUCAAUAUUUUUCAAGAACUAGUUUUCAUCUAUGGUUGAUUUUUCGAUUCCUGUGUAACCGGACCCGGGAGAACUUUGUUUUUGAUAUUACAUUUAUUUGUUUUUUGAUGCGAAUCUCCGGUUGUUUUUUUUGUGUUGAGAGACAUCGUGUGAAGAACGGCGAGCCAGGAUCCAAAAGAGCAGAUUGACAUUGUGUCCACUACGACGUCAAAGAAGAACCUUCUUCUGUUCCACUUGAUCGGUGGGAUUGCACAUAUUAACACUACCCGGGUAGCUACCAUAUAACAUUCAGAUCUGAAAACUGAAUUGAAC